rnacentral:rRNA from 1 species
UUUUGCAUCAUGCUGUUUCGAUAAAGUUAGUUUAUUACUUUUUACCGAAAGGGUUUGAUUUUUAAUUCAAUUGGUUUGUAACUUGGUCGGGUAGAGUAGAAAAUUGAUUUAACGUUGUGAUAAAUUAGUCGUUUUCCUUUAUAUCUGUUUUUUGUCUUAGUUUUCAAUUUAUUUACAAGGCGGAGAGGUCUUGCAAAUAUGUAUAUAUUUGGGUGUGGUGUCUUGAGUAAAUAGGGUUAAUAAUCCCCAUUUAUUGGAGUUUUGUUAUAAUUUAUCUAUAUCUUGUUGUAUUUAUUACGUUUUAGCAGACAAAUAGAUUUAAUAGUUUGUUAUAUUUAUGGUACAAUGAGUAAUAAGAUAAAUUUAUAUUGUUUCUCAAGUGUAUUCCGUCUGUUUAUUAAAAACAUUUCUAUAUUUAAAUUUUAUAUAGUAGGACCUGCUCGGUGUUUAAUUAUUAAUGGCCGCAGUAUUUUGACUGUGCGAAGGUAGCAUAAUUAAUUGCCCUUUAAUUGGGGGCUUGUUUGAAUGGUCUGACGUGGUUACUGUUAACAUUAUUUUUGUUUUUGAAAUUAAUUUUGAGGGCACAGAAUCCUCUAAGUUUAAUUAGACGGAAAGACCCCGGGAUCUUUUAUUUUUGCCUGGGGCAGGUUAUAUUUUUUCAAAUUUUAUAUUGUGAUCUUAUAUUAGGCUUGGUGGGCUAAGUUACCCCGGGGAUAACAGUGUAAUAGUCUAUUAGAGAUCUUAUCGAAUAGACUGAUUGCCACCUCGAUGUUGACUUAGGUAUAAUAAAUGGGCGUAGUAGUUCUUUUAUGUGGUCUGUUCGACCUUAAUUUCCUCCAUGAGUUGAGUUAA